rnacentral:lncRNA from 1 species
AGAGAGAUUGGUAUACUGAAAUGUGUUGAAUCGUCGGUUCCAUACAUCUUUGAGUUUUUAUUGCUGCAUUGGACCAUCUGCAUUGCAGUUGAUCUAUUCAAAUUCCAAAAAGCAUUGCACGAAACAACUGAGAUAUAUUUGUACCCAUUUAUACCUUGUUACUUUUGAAAUGUUAACGUAAGUCCUUGGUGAAAGAAAAAUUAAAGCAUGUAAAUGUACAUGGCCUGUACCUAUAGAUGGAGAAAGAGGUUUGUCCUAAAUUGAAUUUGGGCAUGGGCAUGUGGAUGCUUAUUUCUUUCUCAUGAGAGGCACUUAUAGAAUUAUACCUACCGCUGUGUACCUGAGUCGAUAUGGCUCAUGAAGAUCAAUAUAUAUGUGGACCAAAGCAAUACCCACACACAUGCAUAGACACCAUAUAUGUACAUAGACAUUGUGCCUUAG